ensembl:rRNA 5S_rRNA 5S ribosomal RNA
GUCUAUGGCCAUGCUACCUUGAACAAGCCAGAUCCCAUCUGAUCUCGGAAGCUAAGCAGGAUCGGGCCUGGUUAGUACUUGGAUGGGAGACCACCUAGGAAGACAACAUGCUGUAGGCG